rfam:Mesocricetus auratus contig097913, whole genome shotgun sequence.
GGCCUCCUUGUGCUUACCAUAGGCGGUGUUCUUACACUGACUGUAUAGAAAGAGGAGGCAGACAGAUGGAAUCUGCCUGGGAAUUUAUCCUUAUGGAGAAUACAG